UACGUAGGUGGCAAGCGUUGUCCGGAAUUAUUGGGCGUAAAGCGCGCGCAGGCGGUCCUUUAAGUCUGAUGUGAAAGCCCACGGCUCAACCGUGGAGGGUCAUUGGAAACUGGGGGACUUGAGUGCAGGAGAGAAGAGUGGAAUUCCACGUGUAGCGGUGAAAUGCGUAGAGAUGUGGAGGAACACCAGUGGCGAAGGCGACUCACUGGCCCGAUACUGACGCUGAGGCACGAAAGCGUGGGGAGCAAACAGG
rnacentral:rRNA from 1 species